ACCAUGAUUGAUUAAUAAGGUGAUAGUUGCAGUGCAUAAGCUAGUCUACAAACAAAUAUUCGUUUGAUAUUUGAUUUCCAGCAUUGAUUACAAAGAGUUAACAACCAGUUAUCUGUCUCUUAGGAUGCUUUGCAAGUAAAACCAAAUCAUUAGGAUAGUGUUUGAUCGCUUUGGUUAGAAAAGGGCCACCGAAGGAGGGA
rnacentral:lncRNA from 1 species